GGCUUCGGCCUUGUUGGCCAGCAGUGGGACCUCAUCGAGUAUUUGCGGCAAGAGGAGAUUGACAUCGUCGGUCUUCAGGAGAUGAUUCGCCAGGACUUCAGUAUGCUUGAGCUCCAGGGGCUCUCUCGCCACCAGUUUGCCUGGCAGUGGCUGCCUGCCAUGGGCCAAUCUGGGGGCAUUUUACUCGGGGUCAGGGAGGAUGUCUUCUCGGUUGAGGGUAUGGACCGAGGGGAAUUCUUCCUGAGCAUGUCGGUCACCGGCCGUCGAGUCCACCUCAGUUGGCAGGUGAUUUUUGUCUAUGGCUGA
rnacentral:rRNA from 1 species